AUGCCUUUUUUUUCUUCUUUUUUUUCCUCCCCUCUCUUCCCUUUCUCUGCGCUGGUGGAUCUCCCCUAUGUGCGCUCGUGGGAGCACCGGCGGCGGCCCGCUCGCCCACCUACCGCACGCGCGCUCGGCCGAGGGACCUCCACCGUCUGCCUUGCCUCCCGCCGAGACCCGCCCUUGCGCCUCCCGCCAAACAGCCUCCCGCCGAACCCGCCCUGCGCUGGUGGCCGGAGUGCCGCGCUCCCCUCCAGCAGCCUACGGGCUCGAAGCCGGCGGCCGGGGUGCUCGCGCGCCUUCCCUCCAGCGGCCUGCAGGCUCGGCCGCCGCCGCCGGGAGGAGCGCCGCCUGCGGGCUCGGCUGCAGCCGCCGGCACACGCGCGGGCUGCGGGCUGCACACGCCGCCGCCGGCCGCGCCGAGACGACCACCGUCAACACCACGGCAAGCACGCACUGAUCCAGUCAAUGAUUGUUUUCUUCAAUACGGUGAAAUUUGGGGUAACAUUGACCCAUGUCAACUUGAUGGCCCUUGGAAGGUCAUUCUCCGACCUGGGAACUGUUGUGGAGAACACUAAUUUUGAACUCAUUGGUGACAGGUUAACUUUGAUGCGAAGACCGAAUAUCACAUGAUCCAGAACUACAAGAUUCUUCAGGAUGUGUUCAACAAGUUGCGCAUAGUUAAGAAUGUAUCUGUAAGAAUUAACAGGUCCGGACGCAGCAUGUAUCUAUAUUAUUCUGAAGAUAAGAAUGGUGGUGGAAUCUCUGCAUUGAUUUUGUAGGGAUUGCAUUGAUAAAUCCAUGCGGCUUGGUAGUAACAAAAUUAACUUCCACAGUCUGCCAGUGAUACCUCAAAAAGCUUGCUGCUACGUCGAGGCAAAAAUUGCUCGAUGCUGUCACACCCGGUGACCAUCUUAAUGUGGACAUUCAAAUGGAGGAAGGAAAUUUUACUCAGUGGAUGUGUUUGUGUAAUCAACAUAAUAGCUCUGUUUUUUGUGUGAAACAUAUAUUUUUCAAUUUGGUGUAUGGAUCAUAUGUUGUUUGGUGUAAGUUUGAAAUUUACCCGUGGCUUUAGCACGGGCACAUUACUAGUGGUCAUAAAAUCGCUCACAGAA